CCUACGGGUGGCAGCAGUCGAGAAUCAUUCACAAUGGGGGAAACCCUGAUGGUGCGACGCCGCGUGGGGGAAUGAAGGUCUUCGGAUUGUAAACCCCUGACAUGUGGGAGCAAAUUAAAACGAUAGUCCCACAAGAGGACGAGACGGCUAACUCUGUGCCAGCAGCCGCGGUAAUACAGAGGUCUCAAGCGUUGUUCGGAAUCACUGGGGGUAAAGCGUGCGUAGGCUGUUUCGUAUGUCGUAUGUGAACGGCGAGGGCUCAACCCGGGGACGGCAUAUGAUACUGCGAGACUAGAGUAAUGGAGGGGGAAGCGGAAUUCUCGGUGUAGCAGUGGAAUGCGUAGAUAUCGAGAGGAACACUCGUGGCGAAGGCGGGUUCCUGGACAGUAACUGACGCUGAGGCACGAAGGCCAGGGGAGCGAAAGGGAUUAGAUACCCGAGUAGUC
rnacentral:rRNA from 1 species